GCUCUUGUGGAUCAGUGGCGAACGGGUGAGUAACACGUGAGCAACCUGCCCCUGACUCUGGGAUAAGCGCUGGAAACGGCGUCUAAUACUGGAUACGAACCGGAAUCGCAUGGUUACCGGUUGGAAAGAUUUUUUGGUUGGGGAUGGGCUCGCGGCCUAUCAGCUUGUUGGUGAGGUAAUGGCUCACCAAGGCGUCGACGGGUAGCCGGCCUGAGAGGGUGACCGGCCACACUGGGACUGAGACACGGCCCAGACUCCUACGGGAGGCAGCAGUGGGGAAUAUUGCACAAUGGGCGGAAGCCUGAUGCAGCAACGCCGCGUGAGGGAUGACGGCCUUCGGGUUGUAAACCUCUUUUAGCAGGGAAGAAGCGAAAGUGACGGUACCUGCAGAAAAAGCGCCGGCUAACUACGUGCCAGCAGCCGCGGUAAUACGUAGGGCGCAAGCGUUAUCCGGAAUUAUUGGGCGUAAAGAGCUCGUAGGCGGUUUGUCGCGUCUGCUGUGAAAUCCCGAGGCUCAACCUCGGGCCUGCAGUGGGUACGGGCAGACUAGAGUGCGGUAGGGGAGAUUGGAAUUCCUGGUGUAGCGGUGGAAUGCGCAGAUAUCAGGAGGAACACCGAUGGCGAAGGCAGAUCUCUGGGCCGUAACUGACGCUGAGGAGCGAAAGGGUGGGGAGCAAACAGGCUUAGAUACCCUGGUAGUCCACCCCGUAAACGUUGGGAACUAGUUGUGGGGUCCAUUCCACGGAUUCCGUGACGCAGCUAACGCAUUAAGUUCCCCGCCUGGGGAGUACGGCCGCAAGGCUAAAACUCAAAGGAAUUGACGGGGACCCGCACAAGCGGCGGAGCAUGCGGAUUAAUUCGAUGCAACGCGAAGAACCUUACCAAGGCUUGACAUAUACGAGAACGGGCCAGAAAUGGUCAACUCUUUGGACACUCGUAAACAGGUGGUGCAUGGUUGUCGUCAGCUCGUGUCGUGAGAUGUUGGGUUAAGUCCCGCAACGAGCGCAACCCUCGUUCUAUGUUGCCAGCACGUAAUGGUGGGAACUCAUG
rnacentral:rRNA from 1 species